GUCCUGCCACCAGGAAGAGGCUGCUGGCGGCACCGCUGACCGCAUUUCGCCUGUGGGAGCUGGGACGGUCCGGGCAGAAGCCUGUCUAAUACCACUGCCAAGGGCAUCCUCGAUAAAAACAUGACUUAUGAGAGAUCGUGACUGUAGAGCCAGCCAGGCCACACAGUCAUCUUUUCCAUCUUGUGACUGCUGGUCCCGGCCUGUGUCGCCUACAAGCCUCCCUGGGGACUCCCAGCCUCCAGCCUCUCUGCACGCCCCUCACACCGACCAUCGGGAGAAUCAUCCAGAAGAGCCACCGCUUUAACCCUCCAACGGCUCUCCACCGCCCACGGGAUCCACUCCAGCACUUCAGCGUGUCCCCCGAGUCCUCCCCUUCCACACAGGCCAGCCUGUCUGUCCUCUGAGUUCCCGCCUCCCUCACUUGGCACAUUUUCAUGGGAACCUAGUUCACUGGUAUUUCCAUUGUUUUCGGAGACAUCCUCCUCCCCAGCUGGAGAGACGGCAAUGGUUGAAGGCCCCAGAGAAAAAGACGACCAUCCCUAACCAGCCGAGUUAAGGCACUGUGGUUCGCGAUGGGCUGAUCCUUGCCUGGGGCCGGAUCUAGAUUGUUCUUCCCAAGGCAAUUCAGACCAGGCUACAGGUCAUCAGAUUAAAGUUGCUUUUUAUAAGUACGAGGCAGAUGAUGCCACUAGAGUUGAUUGCCAUUAGAAGCUCCUCAAACGACUGUCAACCAGUGGCUGUCACGUGGUGUGGUGCAGAACGAUGCAUAAAGCCAGUGGAAGGUGGUCCUGCCUGACAAGCUUCCGGCCCACCAGAUAAAUAUAGAGACCACGUGCCUCGUGGUGAAAAGGUCCCUUGGCCAGUUUGAAUCCCCACGAGCGCUGGCACAGAAGCUGACACACAGCAAGCACUCCAAAUAUGUGUGUCAACGAACACUCGACUCGACCAUGUUUGCAUAACCGCGUGACCAGGCCAAGGUUGACAGCUGAGACAGCGACUAUCACUGGCUUCCAGAUGGGGACACAGGCUCGGAGGCUCAGUGACUCACACAGAGAGGGAUGGAGCUGGGAUUUGAACCCACUGUGUCCGGCCCAGGAGACAAGUGGCAAGGUUAGAAAAGAAACCAAGGAAGAAAUGAAGGUUGAAAUGAAAAAGCAGAAAUGAGAAUGAGAAUUACCAGUUGCGGUGAGGGUGGGAAAACGCAGACCUCCUGACAGUAAGUGAAGAGAGUCAGCUCUGCAGAGGCUGAAAGGACUCGGCGAGGAGGGUUGGGAGGAGGGAGGAACAUGGGUCCCCAGAAAGGCUGCUGUGUCCGAUCCUGAAUUCGGGAAAACUGCUACUGAACUCCAUCACAGCACAUGAGCACCACAAGGACCAUGGAGAGCUCCUAAUUCAAUGCCUUUUUUUAAUGCGGAAACUGAGGCCAGAGAGGAGAAAUGGCUACAAAGGGUCACAGACAGAACAGAAUCCAGGUUUCCCUACUUCCAGACUAUUAUUUCUGUAGUCAAGCAGCCACUCAUCCUCCUGCCAACAGGACCCUAAUUUUCCUCUGAGGAUCCAUCCCUUUCGUCUAGCUGAGCCCUCACGCUGUGCAUCUUAGGUGGCGUGGGCUGCCAUAGCAAAAAUACCAUAGACUAGGCAGCUUAAAGAAAGAGACAUUGAUUUCUCACAGUUCUGGAAGCUGGAAUUCCAAGCUCAAGGCACCAGCAGACCUGGUGUCCGGUGACAGCUUGCUUCCUGGCCUGUAGACAGCUACUCUCUCACCGUAUCCUCACAAGGGGAGGGCACAUGAACUCUUUUAUAGCAGCACUAUUUUCGUGAGAGCUCCUCCUGCAUGACCUAAUUACCUCCCAAAGAACCCACCUCCAAAUACCAUCCCAUUGGGGAUUAGAGUUUGAAUGUAUGAAUUUCGGGGGGAUACAAACAUACAGUCCGUAACAACCCACAUCUCCAGACUAAGCCAGUCCACAAAUGCCAUUCCCUCACGUGCAAGCUAGGGUCAAGGUUACACACAGGACUCCACAAAGCCAUCCAGGGUGAAUUGGAGGCUUUUGCCUUUUUUCCCAUUGGAACCCGCCCACGUGGUGCUUCUCCAGCCAUCAUGACCAGGGAAAAGCCGGUCUGCAUCCUCCGAAAGGAGCAAGAACCAGGCAGAGGGAAACUAAGUCCAAGUGACAUUGUUUCAGCCUCUAGGCCCAUAAGUGCCUGGCCUUUCAUCAAUCACAUUUUCCUUUGUUUUGUUUUUCUUUCUCCAUCCUAACUUUGGGAAUAACACCACACCUCCCUCUCUGGGUUGUCGGGGUGAGGGGGGGGGACGACGACGAAAUGAGAGGGUACACAGAUGGCACUUCCAUCAGCGCCUGGCACCCCGCAAGCACUCACAUAUUAGCGACCUCAAGUUAUCUUUUCUGUCACCGGCCACACAAGAGUCUGAACGAAACAGUGACCUGUUAUUGCUACCACACCAUGCUGAAUUCACAAAAUUACAGGUUUCAAGGAUUUCUCCCAAGAAAGUUAAAGCUGUACGUUUGUGGGCUCAAGGGCGACGUUUCAGUUAGAUGGAAACCAGCUGGACACCUGUCUGGAUGUCCCGGGCUGAGCGCCCACUCGCCGGCUCUCCUCUCUCCUCCGGUCUCUGCAGCGGGGCGCACCCGGGCACUGUCCAGACCCGCCCCCUCUCCUCGCAUGCACCCCGAGA